UCUCUCUCGUUUUCGCAUCUCCUUCUCUUCCCGAAUUCCACUCCAUUGAAGCAGCUCGCUCUCUCUCCAUUGAAGUGGUUUACGAGCUUUCUCACUCCACUGAAGCAGCACCUCCUUCUCUCUCCAUAUCUCUGGCCUCCAUUGAACUCACGCGUGCUCUAUAUUCUCCAUUGAAGCCGAUUCUGAGCUUUCUCACCUCUAUUGAAGCAGCUUCGAGGGUUUGUCAUUGAAGCGCGCACGGCUACACCUCCACCACAACGGCCCCCUUGUCACGGCGGCACGACCUCGAACAGUGAACCUGGUGUCUGAAUCCAACAAUCAUCUCAUUUCAUCUUGGGAUUCUGUUGUCUCUUUAGGUUCUAGGAAGAAUCUCUGCAUCAAUCAAGAGGUGCUGAAGAUUGGUAACCCUGCUAGUAUCAAUGAACGUUGUUUGGAGCUGCACAAUAGUAAGAAAAGUGGAGGUUCAAAGAUCAAGGUUUUCAAAGGCAGAAAGAUGGCUGGGCGCAUGGGUGGCAAACAGCGGACAGUGAAAAUCGGUGGGAAAAGAAAUGGGCGGGAUUGGAAUUAUACAGAGAAGUUCAUAGGUGAACUUUUAAUCAAGUAGACAGAUUAUUAUUCAUUCAGAUUGGACCAUCAGAUCACAUGUUCUUACAAAGCAAGGAGUUCUAACAUGGGUUUACAAAGCAAAGCAAUGCAAGCAGUAGCAGAAUAGCAAUAGCAGAACAGCAAGCAGAACACAAAGUAGCAGAAGCAGAACAAUAGUAGCAGAAGCAGUAGCAGAACAGCAGUACCAGUAGCAGAAGCAGAACAGCAGUAGUUAUGAUAUCCUGGAUGUGAUAGUUCUUAGAGUUAUCGGAGGUGUUCUGGGCAGCUUUUAUAAUUAUCUUGUUGACAUGCACUAUCGUUCACAACGUUGUAGCACCAGGCCCAGCAAAACAGCUAUAUGUUUUUUUUUUCAGUUUUUAAAGUGUAAUAUUACAAGUUAUUGAGACAAAUAUAUGUG